rnacentral:rRNA from 1 species
AGAGUUUGAUCCUGGCUCAGAUUGAACGCUGGCGGCAUGCCUUACACAUGCAAGUCGAACGGGGUAGCAAUACCUAGUGGCAGACGGGUGAGUAACACGUGGUCAACCUGCCUUUGUGUGGGGGAUAACUAGCCGAAAGGUUAGCUAAUACCGCAUACGAUCGCUCGGGGGCAUCCCUAAGCGAUGAAAGAAGCAAUUCG